GCUACCACAUCCAAGGAAGGCAGCAGGCGCGCAAAUUACCCAAUCCUGACACAGGGGAGGUAGUGACAAAAAAUAACAAUACCGGGCCUUUUAGGUCUGGGUAAUUGGAAUGAGUACAAUUUAAAUCCCUUAACGAGUAUCCAUUGGAGGGCAAGUCUGGUGCCAGCCAGCCGGGUAAAAUUCCAGCUCCAAUAGCGUAUAUUAAAGUUGCUGCAGUUUAAAAAAGCUCGUAGUUGGA
rnacentral:rRNA from 1 species